rnacentral:lncRNA from 1 species
CCACCUGUCCCUUUGUCCAAAACGUAUCCUCCCAAACACAAAAGACACAAAACACACAAAAAGAAAACUCGAUCUAGACAUUAACGAUACACAAAAAGAGAAUCAUAUAUGCAUGCAAACAGAAUAGAGAAAGAUUAUGCCCUCAAGUGAUUCAGGAAAAACAAGUUGAGCAAUGAGGGGUUUACUUACCAAACACUCUUCACUCCGUGUAUAUGGGCUUAGUGUAUUCGCUCGUAUCUUCUGACCAGAGCGUUCACCUAUGCUUGUUUGCCUUCUUAUGCCUUCGCCUCUCAAAAAUAUUGGUGUUAGGUCAUUAUCCUUAGGUCUUAUCAUGGUUGCUGUAAUGUGGCUUAAGGCACAGGUGGGAAAAUUUAUGGCUCUGGGCUAAUGUCAAAUGAAUUCCACUCUAGGCACAGCUACCCAUCCCUUCCCCACUUCAGAUUUUGCCUUAAUUCUUACGGGCCUAACCACAAACAACUUGGACUAUAUUUUUUUAUUUUUCUUUUCUUUUCUAGUCCUUAUAUUUUUUUUUGUUUUCACAUAAGGGGCACAAUGAAAUUUGUGAUUAUAGGCUUAACCCUUCCCUCUUAUUCCUACGACUUCCCUUUCCCUUUGACUUCUUUUUUUUCCGUAAUUCAUUUGAUCGGGUUGGCUCAUUCAUUUGGGCAAAUUUAAGUGAUUUUUCAAUUGAAACGAACAAAGCUCAAAGGGGCUAUACAAGGGUUAGUACGUAGGGUUUGUCAUUUGGGCAUAUGGGUUAAGUGAAAAAAAAUGCCUGUCAUCUAAGUUCCAUCAACCAACUCAAUGAGGCUUUGACCAGAAUUCGAGCAAGUUCUAGUUCUACUCAAAGUCAGACGAUAAAAUGCACACAAAAAUGAAUUCAUGUUUGGUUUAAACAGAUAUUGCAUGAUAAGCUCAAACCUCACAUGAUAUAUGCUCAACAUUAGUAAUCCCUCAUACUGACUAUCCCUAGGCAUGCUCAAAUCAAAUAUUCAUAUUCACAACACAUAAUUAUCAUGCCCAGAGUUUAAAUCACACAUCAUGCUAGGUCAGACACGACACACAAAAACAACGGGGAAUGCCUCCACACUCACACACUUUGCUUUGGGCAAAGUGAGUCAGAAAGAGACAGACAUGAACCAAAAUGAAAAGAAACAAAAAACAACACAUAUAUACAUGCAAAUAACAAUCGGCCUUCCCCACUCACACACUUUGCCUUAGGCAAAGUGUUAGGGCAAAGAGAGCCAUAAAAAGACAUAAAGGGAAC